rnacentral:pre_miRNA from 1 species
GUUUUUCUGUGUGAAGAUUGUGUUCAGCACCAAGGACAGCUGUGUUUGCCUUGUGUCUAUGGUAUUCAGCACCAGGGACAGGCCUGUUUGCUU